ensembl:lncRNA
UGCUUAUUGCUGGAUAUAAUGGGCUUUUAAGUCAGCCUGGUACAUGAUGUAUACACUUAAAAACUGUGUGCUGCCACCUCGGAUGUGUUUUAUUUUGUGUUUUGGACGUGAUAUCUUUAGUGUAUUAUAACAGACAUAGUUCACUAUUUCUGUUCUCAACUCCACCAGACUUUGAUACGUAUUUAAGUUGCGUUUAUUGUAGACUAUAUGAUGCGUUCUUAUAUACACCAGACAGUUAAAUGCUGUUUCCCGUUCCUUGUGCACCUGACAGCUGUUUUUGAAGAAUGCUAAGUUGCUUGUUUUGCUGGGAUGUCUAAUUUGUCCACUGACAGUCUGGUUGGGAGGCAUCUCGGUGGAUCUCGGAGAACGUGAGUGUUUGAUGUCAGGAAAGAUCCUGUUUUCAUAACUCACAGACUCAAAGAAUGACCUGAGGAUAUGUUUAAGGGUUCUGAUAAGCUGUUUUAAAACUUUUCUCUGCAGGGCUAAGAACAGAAUGAGAGCGAAAGAGAGAGAUAUGUAUAUAAAAGAUGCAGAGCAGAGCGAAUGGACAGAGACAAGCAGGGAAUGAGGAGAAAGAGGAGCAGAGGAAUGAGAUGGGGGGAGCUGAGUGUAGAGACAGCAGCGAUAAGGAAGUCAAGUUACCAAAACAGCGAUGGAGCAGCAAGAGGAGUGGAGGUGAGAAGAAAAGGCUGCAGUGAGAGUAUGUGGACGGAAAAACAGAACAGACAGGCAAGUGUUUUAUUGAAUCUGCGGUGUCCACAGAAUCGGGUAACUCACUUAGAGGGCGUCUCUAAAAGCAUUCGGAGUGUGGAGCCCUAUGGGCAGUGUCACUCUCAAUCUACAAAACAAAGGACCGGAGGGGCUGCUCUUUGAAUAAGAAAACUACUUUUACAAUACAGAUGGAUUAUUUCAUCUCUGACUGGUCCCUCCUGAGACUUCAGCCACAUAUUUCGGGGGGAAUGAAAAAUAGGGUUGUGAAUGUGUGUUUGGUCAAAUCUGAUAUCAAUAUCACUUUAGAGAGAUUAUUUCCCCAUGUAUGCCUCUCAGAAGCUUUUCACUCUGCUUGGCUCAUGGGGAUAGAAUUUGCUUCUAAAUUAAAUGCAAUAGUUAUGGGCACCACAUGGGGUCUGGAUUGCAGGACAUAUCAUAUUUGAAGGUGCUCAAAAAUCUGAACAGACUAAAAUGAAAACAUCUAGAAUCAGAUCAGAGCUUUUGAAACAAAUCAUUUGCAAACUUAAUUGCAAACUUCAUCGGAACAGAUUUGGAGCAAUUUAACAUUAGAUCGCUCACCAAUGGAUCCUCUGCAGUGAAUGGGUGCCAUCAGAGUACUCUUUGUAACAAACAAAUCCAUUUUUAAGAUGUUUUAACUUCAAACCAUUACUUGGCACUAAAAUAUGAGUCUCCAUAAUAUCGCUUUUGCUUUCGCCAAAAGAUCUUCUCUGAGUCAUGAGAGAAAUAUGCACAGAUCAAUCACCAUUUGGAAGUGAAAACAGUCCAAACAGUUCUAAUUAAAUAGGCUGUGGUGGAUUUUGUUGUAAGAGGACAAGAGGGAUGGGCUGCUUGACUGGAGGAAGCAUUAUUAUGGAUUACUUAAUCAAAUAAAUUGAACUAAUUCUGACGGCA